CCUACGGGAGGCAGCAGUGAGGAAUAUUGGUCAAUGGGCGCGAGCCUGAACCAGCCAAGUAGCGUGAAGGAUGACUGCCCUACGGGUUGUAAACUUCUUUUAUAAAGGAAUAAAGUGAGGCACGUGUGCCUUUUUGUAUGUACGUUAUGAAUAAGGAUAGGCUAACUCCGUGCCAGCAGCCGCGGUAAUACGGAGGAUCCGAGCGUUAUCCGGAUUUAUUGGGUUUAAAGGGAGCGUAGAUGGGUUGUUAAGUCAGUUGUGAUAGUUUGCGGCUCAACCGUAAAAUUGCAAUUGAUACUUGCAGUCUUGAGUACAGUUGAGGUAGGCGGACUUCGUGGUGUAGCGGUGACAUGCUUAGAUAUCACGAAGAACUCCGAUUGCGAAGGCAGCUUACUAAACUGCCACUGACAUUGCUGCUCGACAGUGUGGGUAUCAAACAGGAUUAGCUACCCUUGUAGUC
rnacentral:rRNA from 1 species